rnacentral:piRNA from 1 species
UGGUGGCUGCUGUAACUGCUUCAGACCUU